rnacentral:rRNA from 1 species
UACAGAGGUCUCAAGCGUUGUUCGGAUUCAUUGGGCGUAAAGGGUGCGUAGGCGGCGCGGUAAGUCGGGUGUGAAAUCUUGGAGCUUAACUCCGAAACUGCAUUCGAUACUGCCGUGCUUGAGGACUGGAGAGGAGACUGGAAUUUACGGUGUAGCGGUGAAAUGCGUAGAUAUCGUAAGGAAGACCAGUGGCGAAGGCGGGUCUCUGGACAGUUCCUGACGGCUGGAGGCACGAAAGGCCAGGGGAGCAAACGGG